GACAGAGGGUGCAAACGUUGUUCGGAAUUACUGGGCGUAAAGCGAGUGUAGGCGGUCCGCUAAGUCGGGUGUGAAAGCCCUGGGCUCAACCCAGGAAGUGCACUCGAAACUGGCGGGCUAGAGUAUCGGAGAGGUUGGUGGAAUUCUCGGUGUAGAGGUGAAAUUCGUAGAUAUCGAGAGGAACGCCGGUGGCGAAGGCGGCCAACUGGACGAAUACUGACGCUGAGACUCGAAAGCGUGGGGAGCAAACAGG
rnacentral:rRNA from 1 species